UAUCGGAGUUGUUGUUUAAGGGCCGAGGUGUUCCAUUGCUUUUCGACAAAUGCAUCUGUGGAGAACUUGCCA